rnacentral:sRNA from 1 species
UCAUGACGAAGACUAGCAGCAGCUAAGGG